CGGACGGGUGAGUAACGCGUGGGUAACCUGCCUCAUACAGGGGGAUAACGGUUAGAAAUGGCUGCUAAUACCGCAUAAGCGCACGGUACUGCAUGGUACAGUGUGAAAAACUCCGGUGGUAUGAGAUGGACCCGCGUUGGAUUAGCUAGUUGGCAGGGUAACGGCCUACCAAGGCGACGAUCCAUAGCCGGCCUGAGAGGGUGGACGGCCACAUUGGGACUGAGACACGGUCCAGACUCCUACGGGAGGCAGCAGGC
rnacentral:rRNA from 1 species